GGAGAGAAGCCUGGCUCCUCAAAGCUAUGUUCUCCGAUUUCCUUAAAGAGGUUAAGCCAUAGACAUACCCUGGUCUUUAUCUAAGAAAGUGUGUCAGACCCUUAUCAAGUUAAAUUUUUCAAAGGAGUUUGGCUAAAUUCUAAUGUUAGAGAUGAAUUUUUACUUCCUGUGUGCAUGUUUUUGUGUGUGUAUGUGUUUCUUUCACAGGGUUUUAGAUCAUCCAGAAGCAGAAUGAAGCAAUCCUAGGAAAUUCAAAUUAGAGUCCAUGGCUUGGGGUCUUCAGACUCAAACAUGGACCUUACUCAGAAAUAAUAUAACUAUUGAUAGUAGCCAGGAAUUUUUAAGAUGCCUCUAGAAACCAACUAGCCUUAGAAAUAUAGACAGCUAAGUAGUUCAUCCAGAGAGUAGAAAAACAUCACUUCACUGAUGACUUUCUUACUUUUGAUAAAGAUUUUCCUUUGCUAGGAGAUAGUUCUCCGUCAUUCUAGUUAGUACAUCUUUAGGGAAAAGUACAAUGCACAUUUCUCUCCUCUCUCACCUGGAGACUUUUUCAGCUCUAUGGAGUCACCCUUUCUUCUACUUCUUAGAAAAAUGAUGUGAACCUCAACCUCACAUUCUGUUGAACAUAGACUUCUAUGCAAGUUUUCUGAAAAUUUCAAGACACUCAUUCUUUGGGCAGUCCACAUGAUAGAAAGUUUCCUGGCUCUCACCUGGAUUCUGGCAGUGGGUGUUCUCUAAGGUACUCUCAUUGUGGAAUGCUUGUAUUUACCUCAAGGCACUACUAGCCCAGGUUGCUGGGUGUAGACAGGUUUUACUAAUGGUUUGGGGGCAAUGAAAAGAGAUUACAUUAUACACACAGUAUAAGUUAUACCUAAAUUGAGUGUUAGACAUCACUGUCAUCCCCCUAAAUUUCCCACAGUUAUCUCCUUAAAUGUGUCAUCCAAAAUCUUGGUAUUUGAAAGGAAGCAUAAAUUCAUUUAUUCAUUCACUCAAAAGUGUUUAUUUAAUGUCUACCAUAUACCAGAAACUACCCUAGAUACUGUGGAUGCAAUGAAAAAUAAUGUCUCUUAUGGGAAUUAAAGUCUUUUAAUGAAGAGAUGGUAAAUAGACAACACAAAAGAAGCAAAUAAAUAGCUAAUUAGUCAUAUGGUGGUAAGUGCUAAUGAAGAAAAUUUAAUCAAUGUAAAGUGGUAGAGAGCAGUAAAGAAAGAGAGAUUGUUUGAUAAGUUGUGAGGGAACACCACUUAGAGCACAUGAAGCAGAGAAAUUAAAAUGCAAACAUGUAAGACCAAAAGGUGUUUGUUAUGUUUGAUAUGUAGUUGGAGUGUAGUGAGCUUGAUGAAAGGUAGCCAGGGGCCAGAAGGUGUAUUGGAAGUUUGGGAAGGAGUGUGGAUUUUAUUCUAAGUGUCAUAGAAAGUCAUUGGAGGGCUGAGAACAGAGAGUGACAUGACCUCAUUUACAAUUUAAAAGGAACACUCUAGUUGUUUAUGGAGAACAGACUCUGAGUUGGGAGACCAGUAGAAGGCUGCUUCAGCACUCCAGGUGAAUGAUGGUAGUGGUUCAAAACAGGGCAUUGGUAACAGAAGGGUUGAGAUCAUUUUGAUGUUAAAAUUAACCAGAUUUGCUGAUGAAUUAGAUGUGAGACAUGAGAGAAAUCAUAAUUCUAUCAUUUUUGGUCUGAGAAGUUGAGUGGAUUGUGGUGCCACUUAACUGUGUUAGUGUUUUUCUGCUGUUGCAUUGUAGGCACAGUCUGUGAUAGAGGCAGAAAACUGUUUCUUGCUGCAAAUCCUUGGGUUUGUACCAACAAGAGUACUCUUUACUGAUGGCCAAAGGCACAGAGACCAACCAGCCUUUGGGUUCUGCUUAAGUUCUUCUCAUGGAUACAAGCAAUCUACAACAUCUUAAGAAGAAAGGGAAACUGUGUAUUAAGAUUGCUAUGUAUGAGCCAGAAACUUCCACAGUUGCCAAAAAUUACUCACCUACAGAUCUAUGGUUCAUAAGAAAUCUUGGAAAUAAUAUACGGCAAUCUCUUUUCUAAUGUAGCAGUCCUCUUUGCCAUAUUUCCAACAAGUGGAAUACAUUUCCAUAUAUUCUCUAUUUGAAAACUUUUAGAAGAGAAAGCUCACUGAGCUGGGAAGGAGCUCAUUUCUGCACUGUCUUGUUACAUUUUAGAAAGUGCUUUCUUAGAUUUAACUGAAACCCUCUACACACUGGCCGCAGGCCUUUGCUGCUCAACACUCCUAUCAUAUUUUAUGGCUUAUCAAACUCUCUAAUGUAUCUUAUCAGGUUCAAUUUUCAUUAAGCCCUGUAAGGUAGAUUGUUAUCUCCAUUUUAUUCACAAAAACGACAGAAACACUGAAGAGUUGUGAGCCUUGCUCAGGUUAUGUGUCUAAGAAAUGGUAGAAGUGGGUCUGUAGUCAUCUAAGCAUCUAUGUUCUGUUCUUCCCACGCAAAGAGCCAUCUUGGAACUGUGUCUUAUGUUAUGACACACAACAUGAGCCUUAUCCCAUUAAUUUUCAGUGAUUCUUUAUCUUGCGUUUCAAUUUGUUUCACUUUGCUUAUUACUCAUAUACUGCAUUAUAUUAUAAUUAUAUUAUACAUUAUAUGUGUAUAUAUUGAUAUAAUUCUACAGAGAUCAUAGAGCUUCAGUGUUGAGGCUUGCUAUUAGGGUCUUCCUUUGUUUCUUCUCUCUACUGUGUUCUACCUGAAUUGUCCCUCCUGUCCCUCUGCCAUCUUGGUUUUAAUAAAAUGAGGAGAAAAGAGAUUGAGCUUGGAGUCAGAAGGCCUGGGUGUGAGCCCAGCCUCUGCUACUCAACUAGCUAUAUGUGAAGCCCUAAGUAAGUGACAUUAACAUCUUGAGAUUCGGUUGUCUCCUCCGUAAAAUAAGGAUGCCAAUUCCUAUGCUUACGAUUUUAUGGAACUAGGGUUCAUGCCAAAUGGAAUGGGGCUCCUUUGUGACUUGGAAAAUCAAUCCUGAUGCUAAGUCAGUGGAAUUAUUAUAUUCCUUAGCAACUUCCUCGAUAAAGUCACUGUUGAAAAAAUUCUUGUUUAUAAUCAUCCAUAAUUCUACCAAGUUAUAUAUGAAUCCCAUAAAACCUAAAAAUACUAAUUAGAAGCAAUAUGUUGGUAAAUCUCAUUUUGAGAUAGAAAAAUAAAAUAAUAAUAUCUUACAUUUUUAUAGCCUUUAUAACAUUUUCUCACAUGCCUCUUUUAUUGUGUCUUAAGAAUAUAUGAAGUAAUAAACAUAAAAGCAGUUGUCGUGUGUCAGAUUCUCUAUAAAAGUUAGUUGAAUAUGUUUGAAUAUAUUCUGUGCUCAUUAUAUUCAUAGCCUAGUGUGAUCCACUUUGAUGUCUGUUUAAUUCCGAAAUAUGAUUAGAGUGAUGUGUAAACUUCUGACUGGUGAGAUACAACAUUUUAAGCUCUUUGCUCUCCUUAUCUGUAGCUAAAACCCUCUGCUUAACUCAGGGUUGUCUAAGGAGAUGUGAGCUACUAAGGGAAUUCACCUCCUCCAUCUGCUCUUCACAGAAGGGACAGAACCUCUUUGUUCUUUUGUCGUAGCCCUGGCUUUCUGUGGGUGAACCACUUCAAAGACUGAGAGCUAGUAAGAGGCACCCUUGGUGUUAUUGAAUGCUGAAAGUGUCCACACAUGUAAGAUACCAUAUUUAAGAUGAGAACCUUUGCAGAGGAGACUGGAGAGUUGGGCAGCUACUGGUGUCUCAGAUGUCUCUCAAAUGUGUCUCAAAUGGGCAAGGGGCUUCUCGUUUCAUUUGGUUCAGGACCCGGUCUUCUCACACACUCCACCCUAACUGCAUCACACCUACACCACUUCCAGUAUAUGAAAGGGAACUAGGUACACGUUUUCUGGAAGGGAAGGUUCUAAAAGUUGUUCCUGAUUGGAAGAUAAGGCAGGUGAAAGAUUCAGGAAGCUACAAAGGUCUCUGGCCUUAAGUAAAUGAACUAAGUUUCUAAACUUUGUAACAGAGAAUUAAGACUGUUGAUUGAAGAAACUGGGGAUUCUGAUAAUAUGAAAUGUGUCUAGUUCUCCUUACCCCAUGUCUUCAUUGAGAAGAGAAAACAGCCUUGACUCAGAUGGUGAGAAAGACACAAAUGUGUUAAACAGAACUCUAAAGUGUGAGCUGCAGGGGAAGACGUCUCAAACCUCAGCAUCCUCUUUGCAUCAUUCGGUGGGUUGUAUUUUGGCUUCUAAGAAAUUGUGGAGGCUUCUGCAGGCAUCUCGGAGGGUGGCAAAGAGAAGAAUACCAUGCAGGUGGCUGAGGUGGCUCAUAUUUUCUUUAGGAUGGUGAAUUGGCUUUUUCUCACUUUACAGAAGAACAUGUAAAGACGGCUCUGUUCUGUGAAGGGAGUGGUAAUAUAACCAGUGGCCAGGUAGCUGGAGCUGCAUUUGAAAGGAAGAUGAAUAUGCUUUUUCUGCCCUACAGCUAAGUCCACAUUGUCAUAUCUUAUGUCUCACGAGAUGGCAAAGAAUAUCAACUUUUUAUUCAAAAGUAGUGGGAUGUAGUGGUGGUAGUAGUAGUAGUCGUCGUUGUCCUUAUCACAGGACUUUAUGGCUUGGCUUAGGGCAAAAAUAAGUACAUAAAUAGCAAUAGUAGUUGUAAUUAUUGACUCCUUUUUAUAAGAAUUAUGCAAAGCACCCUACAUUUAUGUUUACUAAUCCUCACAACUCCACAAGUCCAUUUUAUAAGUGACCAAAACUUAAUUAGGUGCAGAGAGGUUAAGUAACGUUUCCAAGGAAACAAGAGCUAGGGUUCAAGACCAGGCUUUGUUGAUCCAAGGAAUCUUACCUAAAGCAGGCUCAUACUGCCCCCUUAUAAUACUAAUAUUCUUCAUUCAUUCAACAAACAUUUAUUAAGCACCUACUAGGUGCCAACCAUUGUUUAGGGAAUAGAAUGGUGAACAAGACAGAUAAGUUCCUUGCUUCUUUUAAACUUAUGUCAUAGAUGGGUAAGCAGGUAGUGGAGAAAAUAAACAAAAGUCAAAUAAAGAAACAUAUAAAUUAUCAGAUAAACACCAUGCAGAGAAUUAAAAUAGGUUGAUAGUGGGAAUUCCCAUCGAGACUCAGCAGUAACCAACCCAGCUAGUAACCACGAGGACACAGGUUUGAUCCCCGGCCUUGUUCAGUGGUUCGGGGAUCCCACAUUGCUGUGGCUGUGGUGUAUGUUGGCAGCUAUAGCUCCUGGCCUGGGAACUUCCAUAUGCUGUGGGUACAGCCCUAAAAAAGACAAAAAAUAAAAAAAUAAAAGAUGGUGAUAAGGUAAAGAGAGACUAGAAAAUUACAUUAGAGUGAAAGCCUCCCUGAGGACAAUUAAAAUAACAAGAGCCAGGAAUGCAAAGAUUAGGCUAAAGAACAUGGUAAGCAGAGGCAACAACUUUUUAUGGGCUUGCUUUUGGUAUUUUGAGACUAUAACACUCCUAGCAACAUGCUUAGCAUUCUUAAGAGCUUAAAUACCAGUAGGUCUACUAGUCAUUGUGACAAUUGUCAAUGUAAAUAAAGAGGUACAAUGAGGUAAGCUUGAGUUACCAGAAAUCAAAUUUAUUUGAGAAUAGUGUCAGAAUUGCUAUUCAGGAAACUUGUGCUAUAGCAAGUUACAGGCAGGUGUGUUGAAGUUUUGGGGGGGGCUGUGUUUAUGAGCAAGGAGUGUUAAGAGGAGGGUGUCCAGACAGAGUCCAAGCAGGAAGUUUUUUGGCAUGAGGAUAGAGAUUUUUGGCAGAUAUUCAUUGGUCAGGAGGUCAGGCAUUUAUAGGAAAUCAGCCUUUUGGUUCUUAAGUUCCAUUCCUAUGAUGGCACAUGCAUGAGAUUCUCCAUUGCAUAACCUCUAGUUCUGUUUUAGUUUAAAAUCUUUUUUUCACAACCAAAUAUCUCCCCCAUAUAUUGUUCCUCUGUCCUUGCUGAAAAUCACCAGUUAAAAGCAAUGGUUAUAAAACAGGAAUGAGCUUGGCAUGUAGGGGAAAUAGAAUGAAAGGCCAUGUGGCUGGAGUCUGGGGAUGGCAAGAGGGGAUGCUGGAGAGGUAGACAGAGACCCAUAUCACACAGGGCUUUCUACAUUGUUGUGAGGGCUUCAGAUUUUAUUGUUAGUUCUAAUGGAAGCCACUGAAAAGCAUAGUUGAAGGGGAAUUGGAGAGAAGUGGAAAAUUUUGAUCUGUUAAUUUUAGUAGUAGAGUUUUCAGGUCUGUUUGGGUGUUGGGUGCAUGGGAAAGAGAUGAAUCAAGGAUUACGCCUACUAUUUUCUACUCUGUUUCCUUUACAGAACCUAUUGUAAUAAUUUCCUAGGCUUUUUUUCUUUUUUUUCCUUCAUGUAUUUUUCCAAUUAGAUCCAUGUCUGUUUUAUCCUGGUGCUUGGUAAAAGUGUGCUGAAAAAGUGAUUGGACAUCUUUUCUUACUCCAUACAUAGACCUACCUCUUUUUAAUGGCUGCGUGCCUAGACCAUCAGCUUAUCUUCAGUCAUUUCUCUAUGAAGGGACAUUUAAUUUGCUCCCAAAGUUCUGCUGUUUCAGAAAAUGCUAUAAAGACCAUGUUUAUAUUCAGGCCUAUGUAUUUCUGCUAGUAUUCUUCUAGGACAGAAAAAUAGAUUUAGAAGGUCUAUGCAUAAACUAUAUGUUAUGACUUUCCAUGGGUAUUAUCAAAUUGUUCUGUAAAAGGUUUUACUAAUUUUCACCCCAACCCACACCAGGUAGGAGUGCCUUUUCUCUAUACUGUAAGCCAUUUUUAUAUAAUCAUUUGCAAACAUUUUUACAACACUGGCACAUAAAAAAAUGGUCUCCAUACUUCGCAUUAAAAUUUUUUUGAAG
rnacentral:lncRNA from 1 species